UUGACAUGUCCGGAAUCCGAAGAGAUUUGGGAGUGCUCGCAAGAGAGCCGGAACACAGGUGCUGCAUGGCUGUCGUCAGCUCGUGUCGUGAGAUGUUGGGUUAAGUCCCGCAACGAGCGCAACCCUUGUCAUUAGUUGCCAUCAUUUGGUUGGGCACUCUAAUGAGACUGCCGGUGACAACCGGAGGAAGGUGGGGAUGACGUCAAGUCCUCAUGGCCCUUAUGGGUAGGGCUUCACACGUCAUACAAUGGUCGGUACAGAGGGUUGCCAACCCGCGAGGGGGAGCUAAUCCCACAAAGCCGAUCGUAGUCCGGAUCGCAGUCUGCAACUCGACUGCGUGAAGUCGGAAUCGCUAGUAAUCGUGGAUCAGCAUGUCACGGUGAAUACGUUCCCGGGCCUU
rnacentral:rRNA from 1 species